rnacentral:lncRNA from 1 species
CUGCCCUCGCUGCUCUGCGCUGCCGCAGGUAUGUGGGUGCGGUGCGGCCACUUCUGGAAGUGGGGAGGGCCAUGGGCUGUCUGCUGGGGGGAGGAGAGCGGGUUUCAUGGGCAGCUGUGUCCCAGGGUUUGGGUGCAGAGCCCAGCACACGCACGGUGAUGCCUUCAAAGAGCUGUGCUGCAUGAGGAGGAAUGCUGGGUUCGAGGAGUGCUUUCUGUGCAGCUGCUGAUGCUGCUCUGUUCAUUGUCCUCCUGCCCAGACACCCAUGUACUGUAACCCCAUGGUCAGAGCCUCUUCCAACUCCCUCCAGUGAAGGGUACGUGUGUCCCCUGGGGCAGUUUCCCUGUGGCAAUCUCUCGGUCUGCCUGCCCCAGGCCCUGCACUGCAAUGGGGUGGACGACUGCGACAACGGCGCUGAUGAGGAGAACUGUGGUAAUUAGCAAGAUCCUAGGAAGGGGGGGUGUCCCUGGACUGGAAAUGCCAGGAACUGGGAUAUGAGAGCAUUUAGGGCAGAGCUGCGGCCUCCCCUGCAAGCAAUAGCAACAGCAGGAAUCAUGGGCUGUGGCGCCCUGGUUCUGGCACUGUAACGCAUGCCCACAUAGCAGAUCCCCUGUCUGGGACUCUCCUGCUGCAGUCCUCAGGGUUGUGUGGGCUGUGUGCAGAGGCAGAGGAAUGGGGCGUUCUGUGCCAGUUGUUGGGGCACACAGCUGCAGCAGAUGUAAGGAAACAAAGUGAAUUCCCUUCUUUGAACUAUAUGCCGUGCCGUUGGCGGGCUCUUUGCUCAGGGUUGCUGGAAAGCAGGAUGUAAAAGAGCCAGAGAUUGGGGAAACAUGCUGCUGGGAGCUGUGGGUGCAGCGCCUGGCACAGGACAGGCUUGGUGGGAUGGAAGAGUGGAAGGAAAAUUUUAUUGGGGUUGCAUUUGGAUGCACAUAACAUGGCCGGAUGGAGCUAGCUCUGCUUCACACAGCCACGGGGCUGGAGCCAGCCUGCUGCCUCCUUCCCUACACCCUGCCGGGGGCUGUGGGGUUCUGCACCCACCACGCAGAGCUGCCGGGCACUGCGGGAUGCAGCCAUGCCU